UACGAAGGGGGCUAGCGUUGCUCGGAAUCACUGGGCGUAAAGCGCACGUAGGCGGCUCUUUAAGUCAGGGGUGAAAUCCUGGAGCUCAACUCCAGAACUGCCCUUGAUACUGAGGAGCUUGAGUCCGGGAGAGGUGAGUGGAACUGCGAGUGUAGAGGUGAAAUUCGUAGAUAUUCGCAAGAACACCAGUGGCGAAGGCGGCUCUCUGGGACGGUACUGACGCUGAGACGCGAAAGCGUGGGGAGCGAACAGG
rnacentral:rRNA from 1 species